rnacentral:rRNA from 1 species
UUGGUGAGGUAAUGGCUCACCAAGGCGACGAUCCCUAGCUGGUUUGAGAGGAUGAUCAGCCACACUGGGACUGAGACACGGCCCAGACUCCUACGGGAGGCAGCAGUGGGGAAUAUUGCACAAUGGGCGCAAGCCUGAUGCAGCCAUGCCGCGUGUGUGAAGAAGGCCUUCGGGUUGUAAAGCACUUUCAGUAAGGAGGAAAGGUUAAGUGUUAAUAGCACUUAGCUGUGACGUUACUUACAGAAGAAGCACCGGCUAACUCCGUGCCAGCAGCCGCGGUAAUACGGAAGGUGCGAGCCUUAAUCSGAAUUACUGGGCGUAAAGCGUACGCMGGCGGGUUGUGUAAGCGAGAUGUGAAAGCCCCCUGGGUCUCAMCYGGGAACUGCAUUUCGAACUGGCAAAMUAGAGUGUGAUAGAGGGUGGUAGAAUUUCAGGUGUAGCGGUGGAAAUGCGUAGAGMUCUGAAGGAAUACCGAUGGSGAAGGCASCCACAUGGGUCAACACUGACGC